GCGGCCCUACGGGACGCAGCAGUGGGGAAUAUUGGGCAAUGGGCGCAAGCCUGACCCAGCAACGCCGCGUGAAGGAAGAAGGCUUUCGGGUUGUAAACUUCUUUUAAGAGGGAAGAGCAGAAGACGGUACCUCUUGAAUAAGCCACGGCUAACUGCGUGCCAGCAGCCGCGGUAAUACGUAGGUGGCAAGCGUUGUCCGGAUUUACUGGGUGUAAAGGGCGUGCAGCCGGGAAGACAAGUCAGAUGUGAAAUCCCGCGGCU
rnacentral:rRNA from 1 species